UACGGGGGGGGCAAGCGUUGUUCGGAAUUACUGGGCGUAAAGGGCUCGUAGGUGGCCAACUAAGUCAGACGUGAAAUCCCUCGGCUUAACCGGGGAACUGCGUCUGAUACUGGAUGGCUUGAGAUUGGGAGAGGGAUGCGGAAUUCCAGGUGUAGCGGUGAAAUGCGUAGAUAUCUGGAGGAACACCGGUGGCGAAGGCGGGUCUCUGGGCCGAUACUGACGCUGAGGCGCGAAAGCGUGGGGAGCAAACAGG
rnacentral:rRNA from 1 species